rnacentral:tRNA from 1 species
UCCGAUAUGGUGUAACGGCUAACAUCGCCGCCUUUCAGCAAAUGAAAGCAAGCCCGCGGCAGCUCGGGGUUCGAUUCCCCGUAUCGGAG